rnacentral:lncRNA from 10 species
CGGAGUCUCCCUCUGUCGCCCAGGCUGGAGUGCAGUGGCGCGAUCUCGGCUCACGGCAAGCUCCGCCUCCCGGGUUCACGCCAUUUUCCUGCCUCAGCCUCCUGAGUAGCUGGAACUACAGGCGCCGCGCCACCACUCCCGGCUAAUUUUUUUAUUUUAUUUUAUUUUUUAUUUUUAGUAGAGACGGGGUUUCACCGUAGCCAGAAUGGUCUUGAUCUCCUGACCUCGUCAUCCGCCCGCCUCGGCCUCCCAAAGUGCUGGGCUUACAGGCGUGAGACACUGCGCCCGGCCCAUACUACUACUUUUUUGUUCUAUAAUUGCAAUGCAGGUUCAGUUAUUGUUUUUUUUGUUUUUGGCAAUGCUGAUGUAUCCAUUGGAAUCAAGUCAGAGAAACAGAAGCCACUUUUGGAUUUCAAACAGAAUUUAACAAAGAGAAUGUUGACACAGUUGAAAUUAGAGCUAAAAAAGCCAAACAAAGGAUAAGACGAUCCAGAAAUCUGUAAUGGCAGGAAGUUGUUACCAUGAUUAUGCUGAAAGAAGAAACCCAGAAGACCACCUUACUGGAUCUUAGAAGCCAGGACUACCUGGGAGAAGCUGGAAGUACACUACACAACAGACCUCCAUUCAUGCAGUAAAGGGUUGUUUGGUGGGUAAUGGAGCCACUGAGAAAAACUGGCCAUCGCUGGACAUAACAGUAGAGUUACUGAUUUAGGGAUGGUGAUAUGUCUCCCCCUGCCACCACUUGGAGAAUAAGAUAAAAAGGCAGCUUUAUGAAGGUUUCUUGGAAGGGAAGUCAAUCACUCUUCUGGAGGGUGAAAGAAUCCAACUCUAGAUGUCAACAAGAAAGCAUCUCAUCAUAAUUCCAACUGGCAGACGUUCUCAGAAAAUGAAGACUGAAUUUAGAAUGCAGCCAGCAUAAAGGAUGAUUGAACUAACAAUGGAAAGAACUGAAGAACUUUAUUACAUUGUUGAGCUCUGGGUCAAUAAACCAUAAAGCCUGAUCUCCCUGAAAUUUCAUUUACAUUAUAUUAUGUGUCCUAUUGUUUAAGACAAUUUGCAUUUUUUCCAUUACUUGCAACUAAAAUCAUCCUAACUGACACAUAUAUUCCAGAGAAAAGAGAGUUUGUACAAAGGCACAGUGUUGAGAAUAAGCUUGUCAUAUUUAGGGAACAGCAAGGAUGCUACCAUCGAGUUGUAAAAAAGUAAAGCAGGAGUUAAAUGGUUCUGGGCACUAAAAAGAAAGGCUAUGAUUGCAAAUAUAAAUGGCUUAAGGAGGUGGAAGCCCAGUUUAAUGGAAUUAAGG